ACUGUCCAUUUAGCCCUAAUAUCCGCAUGCCUGGAGUCUUUGAAGCCAUACCGAAUUUCAUGUCCUGAUUUGUGUCGGGAUUAUAAAUACGAAUCUGAUUUUGACACAGCUGUGAGCUGUACGCUCCUUAAGUUUUUAUAGAUUCCGCUCCGGCCGUGAGGGUCGGAGAGGAGCACAGUGAUCUUACGGAGGAUUUGACGUGAGUUGGAGGUUGUGAGACUCCUUUUUUUUUUUUCUGGGGCUGAUGCUUGGAACUCAUGGAAUUGCGUCCCGCACUCUGACUUGCUGUCUGUUUCGCGAGACGCCUAUUGCAAUGUCGUGGUUACGAGGGUUGAUCCAAACAAGGCUCUUCUUCAUGGUUACUCUUUGUCGGUGGUCACUGAAUGGCUCUGAUUGUGUUAAGGACAUUAUGGUGUGAUGGACAUCUGGUAUUUUGUGUAAUUGAGAAGUAGCCCGUUCAGAGCGCCAUGUUUCAGCCCAGUCGAAGAUAGCAGGUAUUGCUUCUUGUUGCAUUGCAACUAGUCUUAGGUGAGCAGAUUCAGAAGUAGGCUGCAUUUUAUCAGAAUUAUUUUCUUUGCAUAAUGAAGUGUCAAUGCUUAGAGCUAAGUGUUGCAUUGUUACGUUUUUUCCAAGGUUUUGUGUUCGAGCGUGCAUUGGUACAGUUUUAUACUUCAUUGUAGGAUCUGUUCAGUAAGACCUUUAGGUUUACUCUGGCACAGUAUUCGCGAAUUUGAGAGAAUGAAUCAUGUAAUCCUCUGUAACUUGUGGAAGAUUUUUAUUCAACAUUAGUUGCUAGUUAUUUCCCUGAUGACCAUUAGUGUUUGCGUUUCAGCUGAAUAAUAGGAUCAUGGGAUCUUGUGUUCUUAUUGCAUUUGGAGAAAUUUCUUGUAACUGCAUGUAGGGUUGGGAUACCAAUAAGUUGUUUAGACAGCAGGAGAAGGCGGGUCCACCAGAAGAAUUGCUUGAUCAACACAUCCGAUCCAAGCCAUGUUUUGCUAUCAACGUGUUCUUAAUUCUACAACCGUCUAGAAAAGUCCGUUAAGAAUGUGUCUCAAUUGAUUGACUUGGAUUAGGAGAUCGAUACUUAUACUUUGGGUUAAUAAUCUCGUGAAAUAUUUCGUGUUAUAAAAUAAUUUAUAUCGCUGCUUGUAUUGUUUUUAAUGGUUUUUCUUUCGUGGCACGUAACUAUGUAUUGUGCUGAACGCUUCAACAAUUGCUUGUAAACGCCUGUUCUAUUUGUGUUUUAUUGGACUGGAUUAUUUGCUUGUUGAAUCGUCUGCAGUUUACAGUCCUCAAUCAACACUAAUUAAGCUCUAAACCAUCGUCUAGAAGGUAAUGACUAUUAUAGUGAAUUUGGCAACUGAUCAGUUGUUUUUGGAGAUGCAUGUUGUUGACAACUUGUGUCUUAGUUGCAGGCUAACCAAAAACUCAUAUACACUCGUGCACUUUGACCUUUUAAAGGAAACCAAAUCAAGUGUAGGUAGUGGAUUGAUGGAGUGAACUUUUGAAACGUCUUAAUGCCCUGUGACAUUGCAAAACCAUGCUAUCACUCAGCAGUUAAGUCAGUGUUGAUCUCUAAAAACAGUUUGACACUUAAUAGCGUGUUUUGCUCGCAUUUGUUAUGUAGGAGUAAUCGUAUUAUUUGUAGAAUAUCCAAGCUAGAAUUUGUGGUUUAUAGAGUUGGUUUGAGUUCUGAUGUAGGCCACGUUCAUCUUGCAGGAAGUGCAGUCUUCUUGGAACCUUCAUUAUAACAGGCAAAAUGUGGGCUCAAUUUUCCCAAUGUUUCCUAAACACUCGAAGAUCAGUAUGUCUCCUUGGGUCUCUUAUCACUGUAAUAGAUAUGCAUUGUUUUCGUGCAGUUUUGCUUCAGGGUGGUAGCUUCAAAUAAUAUUUAGGGUAAUUUAUGAGUUGAAUGUCACAACUUAUAUCAAAAGACCGUGACAAUUUAUGCUUUCGGCUUCGUCAAUCCGUUACUAGCUGAAUAGGCAAUUUCUUGCGCUUUCAUGAACUAAAUAUCCUUAUUACAUUCAAAUACAACAUUUUUUGGAGGGGCAGCUACAACCUAGUGCACUGUUCACAUCAUAGCUUGCACUAUGAGUUAACAUAAAUCCACGGUGUCUCAAGUUGAGUGUACAAUGGCGAUUCCCAAUCACCGAAAGUACAUCAAGGGAUGUUUCUCACACAAGUAAAAGUACGAUUCUUCCCCAGCACUUGCUGCAAUGCUCUGAUACGAUUUGACCUUCAUAGUGACUACUAUUUCAUUUCUAGCGGUAUUGUUACAGCAAGAUUUAGUUCCCCCUGGUUUCACAAAAGUGACUUCGAGGCGGAAGGUAAUUUUGUUGCAGGAGGAACGUCCCUUCACUAGAAUUUGUCCCAUCUUCAAGCGAAGCCUCUUUUGUAAAGAAACGUUACUCAAAUGGAUCAGACUAGCUUAGGCUUAAGCAAGGUGCACCAUCCUGAAUAGAGAUAGUGACACACGGAGAAGUUUCAUCUUCGUUAGCACAUCACUUGCAAGUUGGAACUGGCUGUCAUGUCAUCAUGGCUGGAUGCUGUUAUUCAUGAUUUAAUUGAACUCUUUACAUCAACUGAUAGAGGAGCUCACAAUAAUGAGCACCGAUGUCAAACAAGGGAAAGAAAGCCUGGAUAAUUUGCGAGGGCGAGUUUAAAUAUUGAAAACUACCCAGUGUAUUAGAAAACUAGGCUCUAAUCUUGAUUCAAAUUGUUUUGUUGAAAUUCAUAGCGAAGUGAAGCCUUCAUGUAACGUGGGGUGGGGAUCGACUUAUAUAUACUUUUUAGGUUUGCACGUUCGAAAUGUGUUGUUUUUAGUGAUUACUUAUUAUCAUUCUUUUGUGCUUAACGUGUGGGUGCUCUUGUUCUGUCUUCUCUCACAAACUACAAAGUCUGGUCGUAAAUUCUGAUGUUUCUUUUUACGUACUUAGAUGACCAAAAAUGCGUAUGUACGUUCGCUGCUUGACGGAGUCGUCGCAGAUAUUUGACAUUGUGGGUACACAUUCGAAUGAAGAAUACUGACAUAAGGCGACGUUUCAAUCAGAUCGUUAGCUCUGUCUAGGACACGCUCAAUUAACAUUGGCGUUUGCUUUCAUACGAUAUAUUGAAUUGGAAAGCUUUUAUGGUUCACUGUCUUACAGCAUUAUUGCUUCUGUUUCAAGUGAAGUACUUCACAUCAGCAAAAUACCUCUGCCCUGAGUAGACCGAGACAAUAUUGAAAUUGCGCUCACUAUUGAGGAGGAUGCUAAAGUGAUGGUUGUUCCCUCAAAGUUGAUUGGAAGGCUGUCUUUCAGUCUGUCCCGGGGAGAUCAAAAGGGUGUGAAUAUUCAGUAUAUUCACUGUAUUUAUCACCUUGUUUCAAGUGAAAAAUAUGAUGGUCUUGCCAUCAGAUUGAAAGGUU